rnacentral:rRNA from 1 species
GUGCUUGCACCUGGUGGCGAGUGGCGAACGGGUGAGUAAUACAUCGGAACAUGUCCUAUAGUGGGGGAUAGCCCGGCGAAAGCCGGAUUAAUACCGCAUACGAUCUACGGAUGAAAGCGGGGGACCUUCGGGCCUCGCGCUAUAGGGUUGGCCGAUGGCUGAUUAGCUAGUUGGUGGGGUAAAGGCCUACCAAGGCGACGAUCAGUAGCUGGUCUGAGAGGACGACCAGCCACACUGGGACUGAGACACGGCCCAGACUCCUACGGGAGGCAGCAGUGGGGAAUUUUGGACAAUGGGCGAAAGCCUGAUCCAGCAAUGCCGCGUGUGUGAAGAAGGCCUUCGGGUUGUAAAGCACUUUUGUCCGGAAAGAAAUCCUUGGUUCUAAUAUAGCCGGGGGAUGACGGUACCGGAAGAAUAAGCACCGGCUAACUACGUGCCAGCAGCCGCGGUAAUACGUAGGGUGCGAGCGUUAAUCGGAAUUACUGGGCGUAAAGCGUGCGCAGGCGGUUUGCUAAGACCGAUGUGAAAUCCCCGGGCUCAACCUGGGAACUGCAUUGGUGACUGGCAGGCUAGAGUAUGGCAGAGGGGGGUAGAAUUCCACGUGUAGCAGUGAAAUGCGUAGAGAUGUGGAGGAAUACCGAUGGCGAAGGCAGCCCCCUGGGCCAAUACUGACGCUCAUGCACGAAAGCGUGGGGAGCAAACAGG